AUUGGCCCAACCUUCUAUGUAGCACCUUUGGAAGACAGUCACAUGCUUGGUGACUGAAAGGAAAGCUUCAUCAAGAUAUUGCAGACAUCCAACAGGCUGUGACAAAUGAGCUUAGUAGCAUCUCAGUUGAAAAUUUCUCUGCUUGCUUCCAAGACCUCCAGAAAUGUUGUGAACAGUUUAUAGAUAUCCAAGGGGACUACCACAAUAGGAGCUAGGAUCAUUACUUGAGACAAACAAAACAUUCUGGAAAAAACAGGCUCAAGGAGAAGUGAGAUGCCUCCUGAUGAUGAUUUGAACAUGUAUUCCUAUUGUACUAAUGAUUCUAUAGAGAAGCUGAAGAACAUGGAGAUUGCAACACAGACAGGUGCAGACAUCAAAAUUACCGCAUAACAUACACCAGUUCUGGUGCAUGCAUACUACGGCAAAGUCUCUUAUGCACAACCCUUGAGGGGGUGUUAAAGUAACAGAAUGGGACACCACUUAAUUAAGAGUGAGGUUCAGACAAUGUCAAGGAACCUGUACUAUCUCCUGAUGUAUAUGCCAAUUAUGUAACCAAAUGUUCUGAAAUGGACUGGACUGCCCAUUGUCCCAACCUGAAACCAAUGGAACAUCUUAAGGAUGAAUAAGAAAGUUGAUUUUGAUCCAGGCUGCAGCAUCCAACAUCACUAUUUUCAGUGGUAUUGGCUUUGGGGCAGAAUGGGCUGCUAUUCCUCCAUUCACACAUCUCAUUGAAAGUGUUCAUAGCAGGGAAAUAAAAUCAUAUUUAAGGAGCAACACAUGCAAAGUUGCAUUACUUUGGGAAAAAAAAACUUAUAAAGCUCAAAGUUUUCAAGGCAAUGUAACUAAAUUUGGCACACUUGUUAAGGAAUGUUAUAUGGAUAUACACAUAUAUUUCCAUGC